UUCUAGAUGAUCUUAUACAUUCUUCUGGUCUCCGCCAGGCACACACAUGGUGCACAGACAUACACGCAGGCAAACAUUCAUGUACAUUAAAAAAAACAAAUAAAAAACCAAAAGUUUGAUGCUCACCAAGGUUACACAGCCAGCUCCUGUCUAAAAUAAGAAGCAAAACCGAAGUUUGAUGCUACAGUGUUAUUUUCUCCAUGUUCUCUCUAGCUACCACCUUACAACAAGGUAAGCCUCACUGGACCUGGCUUGUGAAUACUGCCUGCCAUGUCAGAAGCCAGUGCUGGCUCAGAACCUUCUGGAUGACGCGUAUGGCCUCUGUCCUUAGGUGCUGCAACGUGAUCUAUGAGCCCUUGAAAUGCCACUCUGGGCAGGAGGUAGGGCUGUGAUUUAAGCUGGUGCGUCUGGGUCAGGCUGACCAGCAGAGGCGGUGGAUACAGAGGUCAGUCAUGGGAGUGGCCAGCUGUGAGUACGCAAGAGAGUCCCAAGCAAACCCCCGGUGCCCAGGCAUCCUUGGCUGUAUCACCAACAUUUGCAUGGGAACACCAGGAAGGGGGAGAGGUGAGAAGAUCCUCCUUGAGCAAUUGCAAGCAGGACUUCCUGGAAGCUGCUGCUACUGAGGACAAGACUGUUCUGUUCAUGCUCGGUGAGUCAUCUGUUACAUCCCGGACAAUGACAUGAGGUGAAGGAAGCAUUCAGCACAAAUGACAAAACGGCUCCUCUGAAAGUAACCGGGGCCUUGGCACUUGGUUCUUCAUGAAAGCAACAAAUCUUUCACAGGUACUGCUCCAGAUACACCACAUCCAGUGAGUGCACACACUGUCGGUGACCUGCUCACAUCCAGGAAGAAAGGUCCAGCACUCAGGCCCCACAGGAGGGCACUGCAGCUCACUGCCUAGCACAGUGGAUGGGUCCGGAACAGCACCCACGCUGAAGUACAGUGCUCUGUAGGUAAAGGCCUGCUAGACAUCAGCAGUAGCUGUGCCCAGAACUCUCACACAGAGGAUAUUACAGCGGCCAGGACUUCACUCCCUGUCCAAGCCUUCCUGUCCAGAAGAUGGAAACCCUGCUGCCGUGGACAUGGGCUGGGCUCUUGGGCAGAGCGACUAUCAGAGGGGAUGCAUGCUGAGCUCGGCUCAGGGUGAGGCACAGUUGCUGCACAACCUUGCUAUUAACUGCCAAAAUUUUGGAUAUCUUGAAUGUCUUUCAAUUCUUUAAUUAAAAAAUUAAUGUAA